rnacentral:rRNA from 1 species
GACGAACCGUACGAACGUUAUUCGGAAUCACUGGGCUUAAAGGGUGCGUAGGCUGCGCAGCAAGUUGGGUGUGAAAUCCCUCGGCUUAACCGAGGAACUGCGCCCAAAACUGCUGUGCUCGAGGGAGACAGAGGUGAGCGGAACUUAGGGUGGAGCGGUGAAAUGCGUUGAUAUCCUAAGGAACACCGGUGGCGAAAGCGGCUCACUGGGUCUCUUCUGACGCUGAGGCACGAAAGCUAGGGGAGCGAAUGGG